rnacentral:rRNA from 1 species
UCCAUGUAUGCCUCAGUACGGCGAGUGAGCGGCAAAAGCUCAAAUUUGAAAUCUAGCACCUUCGGUGUUCGAGUUGUAAUUUGAAGAUGGCAACCUUGGGUUUGGCUCUUGUCUAUGUUCCUUGGAACAGGACGUCAUAGAGGGUGAGAAUCCCGUCUGAUGAGAUGCCCAUUCCUUUGUAAGGUGCUAUCGAAGAGUCGAGUUGUUUGGGAAUGCAGCUCUAAGUGGGUGGUAAAUUCCAUCUAAAGCUAAAUAUUGGCGAGAGACCGAUAGCGAACAAGUACAGUGAUGGAAAGAUGAAAAGAACUUUGAAAAGAGAGUGAAAAAGUACGUGAAAUUGUUGAAAGGGAAGGGCAUUAGAUCAGACUUGGUGUUUUAUGAUUAUCUUCUCUUCUUGAGUUGUGCACUCGUAUUUCACUGGGCCAGCAUCGAUUCGGAUGGCAAGAUAAUGACAGUUGAACGUGGCUUCAUUCGUGGAGUGUUAUAGCUUCUGUUGAUAUUGCCUGUCUGGAUCGAGGGCUGCGUCUUUGACUAGGAUGCUGGCGUAAUGAUCUAAUGCCGCCCGUCUUGACCCCCGGCCCA